UACCAGCACCCCGAGUGGUCGGGACGAUUAUUGGGCCUAAAGCAUCCGUAGCCGGUCAUGCAAGUCUUCCGUUAAAUCCAGCCGCUCAACGGUUGGGCUGCGGAGGAUACUACGUGGCUAGGAGGCGGGAGAGGCAAGCGGUACUCAGUGGGUAGGGGUAAAAUCCUUUGAUCCAUUGAAGACCACCAGUGGCGAAGGCGGCUUGCCAGAACGCGCUCGACGGUGAGGGAUGAAAGCUGGGGGGGCAAACCGG
rnacentral:rRNA from 1 species